ACCAGCCCCUCGCCCAAGACCAGCACCUCGCCCAAGACCAGCACCUUCCCCUAGACCAGCACCUUCCCCUAGACCACCCCAUCCCGCAAAACCAGCCCACCCCCCCAGACCAGCAACUUAUUACUUUAAACCUAUUCCCGAUUCCCCCAGACUCAGCUCAUGCUCAGCUGCAUAUGGAGCCUCUACCACCCAGGAAAAGACAAACGAAAGGCAGAGAAGCCUCACCCUCAACCCUUGCCAAAAAGAAGAAAACAAAAAGUUGCAAAUGCAGUCGACAGACAAUUUAUCCGUAUGAAAAAAUAUUGGAGAGACGGAUGAAUGGGGUAAGAUGUAGAAACUAUAUAUUUCAUUAGGCUGUCUGAUAAUCUCUUGACUAAUGCCUG